CAGAACACCUCUCCUCCCCCCACACUUUCUUUUCUUUCCUACUGACAAUGUAAAGAGACAAAACCUGGGACCACCUCUAGAAUAGUCUUUCUUCAGUUCUCUUAGGGAGAGGAGUCUCUCUUGCCAUUCCAUGGAGACUUCUCCACAAGAAACAGGUCUCUUGAGGCUUUUCAUUUCCAUGAACUGCAGCCACCUGGAAAUCUGCAAUGGUGAAGUUUCUCCCAUCUUUUUUCAGCCUUCCCACAGCUGCAUUCAUGGGCCAUGCCAGCUUAUUGGGGUGCUAUUUUAAGGAUGUGCUGUUCAAAAACAAAGGUUCUCUUCAUCUAUCUCUGAGAUUAUCUUCAACUCCAAUAACAGAGGUCUUCUUCUUCUUCUUCCCUGGGAGCAAACGGUCUUCAUCACCUUUACCUCUCUCUAUUCAAACUUCUCAUUUGGAUCACACCUACUCCAACAUAUGCUUCAGUGUGGGUGCCUCUGUUCAUGGCUGUGGUUAGAACUAUAGUCCCUCAAAAUGCAUUCCAUGAGUUACAGGGAAAAAAGUCUGAUGUAUUGAUCAUAUCUUCAGCCUAGUCUUACAAGAGAAUUUCAGCCCAAGACUAAUCUCCUCAUUCUCUUCCCAUCUGGGACUUGACUCCUUCUUCACUGACCUUCACGUCUUCAUGCUGUUCUCUACCAGUCUUCAGUCAUUCCAUUCUCUCACUCUAGAGAGGACUGAGGUCUACAGGUGUCAUCUAUGCACUAAAAGAGUUAAUCUUACCUAAGCCUUGCAUGAGGGACUGGCCUCUCGCAGUUGCUCCUGUGAUUCCCACUGGGAGCGGCCUUGGAGGCUGGCAGCAUUGAUUUCGGCUGCAUAGCCUCCUGUGGUACCCGGACGGCUCUUUUCAGCAUGAUUCCAGCGGCCACGCUGAGGGGCUGUGUGGGAACCCAGUGGCAGCAGGAAAUGGCCAGGCAGACGCUCAGGAGCCCAUGCUGUGGCCCAGCCCAGCCCAGAGCUGCUCCCGGGCCCGGCAGACCCCAGCUCAGCGCGGGCUGGGAUGCGUGUUGGCAGCAUGGUAGCGGCUGAGGACGGCCCAGCACCACCAGGCCGCGGCAGGGAACUCCUCUCUUCAAAAGCCGGAAGGAAGAGAGCUUUUUCUAGGCUUGUUUGGUUUAAAAUGUGAACCUCAGAGAGGCGUGUUCAGCUCCUUAAUUGGGUCAUCAGCAUGCCUAUUCUCAGAGACAACUAGCAAUUGGUUUUUGCCGGGCACAGAGGAAGCUCUUAGCAGUAUCUCUUAGAAAAUCACUUCCGUGGUUGACUCAUUUCCUCCUCACCAAAAAAAUCAAUUAAUACAAAACCAGCACAUUCCUCCAGUGAAAACUUGAUCAUUACUCCUUUGAGACUAAAGUGCACAUCAAUCUCUGCAAUAUGAAGCCUGGAAUAAUAUAUUAGGACCUCAAGUGCUUGUUGAAGUGAUCUGUGAGAUAAAAUCAGACAGAUGUCAUUGCCAAUACCUGGCUGGUAGGCCAAGUAAGACGGUGAUGUAUCCACUGAUCUGCUUUCAGUCUGUUUGAUUCUGAGCAUAUUUUGGAGAAAGAAGGAAAAUAGAACAUUCCCAUGAUAUUCUCCAGUAAAGAGGAAUAAAAGAACCAGAAAUACAUCAGUAGGCAUCAUAAUAAGCACUUGAGAAGCAAUAGCGAUAGCCUGAUGUCUGUAAUUCCUCCAGAGCACUAUAACAGCAGAGCCCCUGAAAUGUAACUCCACUUGAUCUUUCCACUCUUUACUUAUGCUCUGACAUCUGAAAACACUUGUAUUCUUGUUUCUUAUGCUGGACAUCUUGCUCUGGGCAUAGGUUGAAACAUCUGCAUGCUGUGAGGUGAUAAAUAUUGACAUAUGGUAUUACAAUAAUAACAGAUUACAUUUUUCUUUUGUUGUAUUUGAUAAUAGAGAUGCUGGAACUGUUAACCCCAGUAGGACUGGAUCUUUUCUGUUGUUCUCCUCCUACUACUGAAUACCUCCACACUGCUUCCCUCUCUUUCUGUGAAUUGCUCCUGAUCAAUAGCUAUUGAUCCUCUCUAUCCCUUCCUUCUAUAAUUUGGUCAUUACUAAGAGCUGAAAGCCUUCUCCACAGCUCAUUACCUAGCUGUUUUGAAAUUACAACUAAAAGCAGAGCUGAUUGAUGCACACUUUGAAGCAAGAGAAAGAGAAAGAGCAGGAGAACAUUCUCCUGCAGGAAGAGCCACAGGAUCUCGUAUUCUUCCCGACCUGUUUCAGUUAAACAGUUUCUUCCUGCUCCCUUAGUAGUUCUCAAUCUCAUACUUGUAGAGCUGGGAAUUUGGGCACUACUGCUGCUGACACAGUGUUUGGGGUAAACUCAGGCACCAAUGCUGCUCAGUAAUUCUUGGAUCAGAAUUAUCUUACCAGAAAAUCUUGGUUGAUCUUAGAAAACUGGUGGUGACUGAAGCAAUAGGGGUACUUUCACACAGAUUUAUCCAGCAACAUUAGUAUAUAACUAUUUAAACAGUUCUCUGAAUUGCAGUAACUGGUCAAACCUGUUCUAACAAUACCUUCUGGCAUUGAGAGCAAGCAACUCCAGUGAAGCUGCUUCUGGAGGGGAGCUGAUGUUUCAAAUGAAAGUAUUUUAUAUUAGUUUGGACUUUCUCCAGGCAACUGUAAAUUAUUUUUGGGACAGGGCAAAGUCCUUCAGCUAUCUCCAAGAUCAAUCAUCAUUCUUAGUUUGCAGCAUUCAGUAUAUUUUUUUUCCCACCUUAGCAAGACAUAUCAUUGUAGGGAGAUUGUUUAUUCCCACCGUGUAGUUUAACACAGCUGUUAAUGACUUGUGACUUCCUCAUGCAGUCAGGCAGAGAAGACUUGUUUCAUGCUAAGCAGCCAUCCAGCUCAUUAUCUUUCAGACUAAGGUGGUCCAGAAGUCUGCAUACUAUUUAAAAUCAGAACUUGUUUCUGUCCCACACCACAAACUUAUUUUUUAACCCCCUGUUAUUGUAGCAUAAAACAGUAAAAAUUACAGCUUGCAUGGUUAUAUCCCUGUGUCUCCUUCUAUUCAAGUGAUUGCUCAGUAAAAUCACCCACACAAAAUUCUCUGUCCCUCUUUGCCAAGGUGGAACAUGAAGUCUUUCACAGUGGACUUGUAAGAACAAAUACAUAAGCAACCAUCUGGUUCCUGGGAUCUGUGUCAGUGGGCAUAAAGUAGGUAUAUCAGCUAGGGGAGCAUGUUUGGGCUGUUCUUAGAUCCUAAUGUUAAGCUGCAAAAUCAGACUUCCCAAAGGGAAGAUUUUGAUAAGGCAUCUAAUCAGUUGUGGAAAGUUCUUUCAGAUUCAGUGCUAAAUUGUGUGCUGGGUGUCAUUUAGUCAGGCAGAAUUGAGUUGUCUUCCUGCUCCAAGCCAACAAGAGCUCAGGUCAGUACUCUCAGCAAGUUGCUACUACUCCAGCUAAUAUAGUCUGACCCCCUACGAGGCUUAAUUCCUCAGAUUUAGAAUAAUGUUAUCUAUCUCCACACGGCUUUCUGUCAGUCCAGGCCACAAAAAGAAAAAACAGUCUAGCCACAGAAUAUGGCACUAACUGUAAAUUAUGUCUAGUUUGUUGUUAAAAGAAUGGGGCUGCACUCAUCUUAAAGGUAAUACUCUGAACAUUUGCAGUGAUUUACUGCAUAAUAAAAUAUUUAAUUUGCUACUACUUAUGUAGCUCACAGCCUGGAUUAGAAAGAUUUAUUCAAGUCCAAUGCAGAUGUCUCUUCUGCCCUGUGCAACUUCUUACUCCAUCCUUAUCAGCAUACAAAUGAGUGAAUUCAAACAGUGUGCUGAGCAUACAUGCGUGCUGCAAAGGAUAGCUGAGUAUGAGGACAAGGGUACUUUCUGUGUGUACACCUGUAUUUAGAAAUGUGUAUAUACACACAUGCUGGUAAGCUUUGAUUCAGAGAAGUCAAUUGAAUGUGAGAAAAAGUGCAAUUUAUUGGGUCUUUGAUUCAAAGGAAGUUAAUUUCAGGAUUCUCUAAAGAGCCUGUUCUUGCAUACCAGCUCUCCCUUCCCAGAAAAGUCCAAUUUCCUGCCUGUGUAGUCCUGACCUUCCUGUGGAAGGCUUGGGAAGCAGACUCCAGCCAGGUACCUGCAGUGCUCAGUGAAUAAGCACAGUAACAGGGCACCACUCAAGAGACACUAUGAUGCAACUCUAUGAAGAAAGCCUUCAACUACUGUAAUAGCUGUAAUACAUCAGCAGGAGUGAUCUGUCUCAAUUCACUGAUCAAAAACUGCUCACAACAUGCAAAAGGCAAAACCUGCUGUGGUUAAAGUCAGCAAAGUGCAAUGCCAUGCAGCUUGUUCUGUUUGUGUAAGUAACUCCAACGCCCAGCAUCAAUCAAGAGGUGAAAGUUGCUGACAAAGGCCACCUUUCAUGGAACAUUUCCUCAUCCCACCAUUUUCUCAGCCCUUUGUUUCUCUCCUGGGAAACAAGAAGCUUUUUUGUUUUGCUCUCAAAUUCUCCAAAAGAGUAUGUUUCCCAGCAGUGUCUAAUAAAGUUCCCUUGGAGCACAUCACAGUUCUCCAUCAUCUUCUGGUGAUGAAGCCUCAUCCUUCCAAUACUUGCAGGGAAGAGUGUAGAGAAGUCACAGAGCAUGCCGUCUGUAAGAUGUCCUCAGCAGCAGUCACAUACAGCUCAAUCUCCUCCUUGCUGACAGCAGGGACAUGCAGUACACAACUCAUAGCCAAACUCUUCACUCCUUUGUCAUGAACUGAACUGAAAGCAUAAGGCUAUUCAAAUCAAGUCAUAUUGUAUGGAGGAAGGGCAGUCCUCCAACAGGCUUCCUCCUUGGAGAUCUGUCCCCUAAGAUAAGAAAAAACUACUUAGUCAUGGUGACUAAGCUGUGGACCCCUUCCUGCUUCGGGACCCCAUGUUAUCUCCCUGUAAACUAUUGGUCAUUUUACCCUGGUCUCAGACCAUUGGUCCUUCUCCCGAUUCUCCCCUUCCCUAUAAAAACCCCAGCUUUUGCCCAGCUCAGUGGAAGUCAUCACUGGACCCCUUUGCUGCAGCCUGCCAAUAAAGGACCCUGUGGAAUGCUACACGGUCUCCCAUCUCUCAUCUAUGCACAGCUGGGGUAACCCAUGAGAGGAGCUGGGCUGAUCUGAGCUGAUCACUACAGAACUGAAAUCACAUCUAAAAGAGCUGAUCAUUUGAAGACCACUCAUAAGAGUUACGCCUGGCAGAAACUGCCUGAGACUCCCUGGACAGCCAUUCCUUGCAGGACCCCUGUCCAGGAUAGUCGCUGAGAGUGCUGGAAGUUGGAAAGACCUCUGAACCAACCACCAACAAUAUUCAGCACUUAGGAAGAUGGCUUCCAGAUGGGAGACAUAAUUUCUUAUUCUUCAUAAAUUAUGCGGUAGCACAACCUGUUGCUUCCACUCUUUUAUUCUACCUAACCAAAAGUGAAGUUUACACUUGAUUAUUUAAGCAGAUGUAAGAUUCUUAGCAAUGACAGUUAGACUUCAAUCUCAUUGGUUUGCAGUCAGGAAUAAGUACUGCAGGGAACAUGGGCUUAUAUAAUGGUACAUUUUCACCAGGUACACACUCCUGCAGAUCUAAAAACUGCAUAUAUUUUGGUAGACAUAGCAGCAUCAGAGAUCAAAAAAAAAAAAUCUCUCAAGCUAAUAAAUACCAAUUUGCAUUAACUUAAAUGCCACAUUCAAUGUUGCCAGCAAGUUUGAGAUUUUUACAUUGGAGGCAGAGAGAUGCCAGCUCCUAAAUACCUCUUGCAGGCCUUAUUAACAAAAAGCACCCUGUUAAGAAGGCUGCAGAGAGAUUAUGUAUGAUCAGAUGAAAGCAGGAUUAGAUAUGAAUAUCUGAAUCACACUAAGUGAUACCUGAGGGAGGCUGGAAACUGAAAUUCAUAUACAGAUAUUCUGCACUGAUCUGAUAGUCCCACAGCUCAUUAAACCCUUUGUAGCUCAGGCCUGUGGCACUAUGAUCACAUUUCUUUAAUGCAAAGAGAUAGAAGUGAACAUUUUAACUAUUUUAAAUUUUGGGGUUUUUUUAAUAGCAAGUAUCUUGAAGAAAUAAUAUUCAAUUUUUUGGUUGAAAAUAUAUAUUUUUUUAGCUGUUGUGGUUCAAAAACAAGAUGUAAAAGAUUGUGGCUGGAAUUCAUGAAAGGGAAACAGUAUAAAUCUAAGUGUUGAAUGUGCAAGGGCUCUUCCCUACAAAAUUCUUGUUCUCAAAGUAUUUUUACCCACAUAGAGCUGUUUGAGAGAAGGUUUGUGGGCAAUGGCCACAGUCAAGGCACCCUCCACAUUUAUUCUUUUUUCCGUGUCAAAACAAAACAUGCAACUAGUUCUCUUUUUCUGAUCUAUAACACAGGCUAUAACACUGAGCUGAUGGAUAAACCGUGUCUUUUACUAUUUGUGUCAAACACAAUACACUGUUUACUCACUUGCUAAUAAACUUAUGCCUCCUAGAAAAGCCUCUCAUACUGUAAUUUUAGAAUUUUCAACACCUUCUCUGCCUACAAUAUAUCAGUGCCAAAAGAAUGUGCAGUUAGCAAGAUUUGUACUUUGUUGGCUGUAGGUCUGCACACAUCGUGCUCUAUUUCACACUCCCAUUUCCUACUAAUUUCUUUGUGAGCACUGCACUACCACAAGGAUUCAGAAUCAAGAUCCAGCUACAGGCACAAAGUAUCCCUUACUGGAUAACAACAGGAAAUAUUUUCCUUCCAAACCAUACAGAUUUUAAUAUAUUUUCUAACCAACUGCCCCCCAUCUCUGUCCUUUGGAAAGAUACAACCUGUCUAAAAAAUAACAGUAAUUGUCUGGUGCCUUAUCACAAAAACAUUGAUCCUUUCUUUAUUGUACUAUGAAAGUACGUACCUGCAUGUGGUGGAGCGGCAGACUGUAUCUUGUAUACAUGAUCAAUAUAUUCAGGGUUCAUAGAGUAAAAGUCCUUGUAAAAGAAUCACAGAAUUAUUAAGGUUGGAAAAGACCUCUCAGAUCACCAAGUUGAACCAUUAAGAAGACACAAUAUAUGGAGUUUGUAAUUUGAUAAAUACCGCCCCCUCCACAAGAGACACUAAAUUCAGCGGGUAUAUGAUAAUACAUUCUUCUUAAUUUAGUACCAAAUCUUGGUUAUAUGGGUCAGAGGUAGCCUCUACUAGAUUAAAUAAACCAUAUAUAUAUUCAUUGCAAACUGCAAUAAAACAUCCUUUCUACUAUUGUGCCACUUCAGCAGACGAUUUUAAAAAGAGAAACAUCUGUCUAUAUUUAAAAUAUAGCUAAAUUGAAGAGAUAUAUGACCUGAUGGGAGAGAGUGGAGACAUAUCCAGACUCCAGAGCAGGGCCCAGUGACAGCACAAAAAACAAUAGGCACAAACUGAAAUAUAAAAAAUUCCACUCCUACAUAAGCAAAAAUAUUUUACUGUGACAGUGAUAAAACACUGGUUGCCAAGAAUGGUUGUAGCAUAUCCAUUCUUGUAGAUACACAAACCUUUGGACAUGGCCCUGGGCAAUGACCAUGGCCAUGGUAUGACUGACCCUGCUGGAAGCUGGGGUGGAGGUUGGACUGUACCUUUUCCAGAGGCCCUUUCCAAUCUCAGCCCUCCUGAGAUACAGUGAUUGUGUGAUGCUUGAACAUGCUGGACAGGGACUCGUUUUCAAUCUUCAUACCAAUAAAACUACAAAAUUAUUAUGUGCACCAUUUUCCAGUUCAAGACUUCUGUCCUGUACUGCAGGCUCAGGUGAAAUAUGAGGUGGAGAAAGAGCAUUUCCCAGAGCUGGAGCUGCUGGCAGACGUAACUCUGGCACCGGUUACAAAAUGCUACAGGAGAGGCAGUACACAGUCUCAGUAACUUCAAGGAAAAUCUCUCAUACCCAGGAAAGCAAAGAAAAGCUCCUCAAAGUUAGCUAUGUCACAGGUUCCUGCUGCAAGGUUUCUCACACCUGCUGUCAUGCAUUUUAUCAGGUGCAUCCCUGCAGGAUGCUGAGCUAGAGUAACAACCAGUCCAACUGUAGCCCUAGUCCAAGAAUCUGAUUCCAAGAUAUGCUCAGUGCUAACAGCACAUUCACUGAGCACAUCUCCAUCAGAUCAUGUCCAACAGCAGCACAAAAUGGGUAGAUCACUAGUUCUCAUCACCAUAAGAAGAGAAAGAAAUAAAUUUAGUAUUUUUGCAUCUAAUUCUUCACAAAUAUUGUGAAUUCUCAGACUGGGCUGUCAAGAUCACUAAGAAGUCAGUCUCUUCCUAUUUUUUCUGAGAAGAAAAAAGAAACAUCAUCUCCCUCUCUUCCAAUAGAGUUCUUGGAAAACUACUGUGAAGUAUCUUACUUGUUUUUUAAAUGCACACAUCACUGUCUAGAGAGGGAAAUACUCAGUGAACACUUAUGUUUCUGCAUUAUAUGAAACUAAUAAAGCAUAUUUAAGAAACUAAUACAGUGUAAUGAGAAAAGAAUGCUAGAUAAAUUUUGACAGUGACAAUCUAAAAGUAUUAAAAUUCUACUGUUUAGAUAGGAUUUGUAGUAGAUAGUCAUUGUAGUUGAUUUCUGCCUAUUGUAUUGUUCAAACACCCUCAAGUGAAAGUAAAAUCUGUUUGUCCGUGGACCAAACUUUUUGAUGGCCUCAGUAAAAAAUUACACAGUUUGGCUCUUUCUCAACAGUUCAUUUUAAAAGUCUGCAGUGCUCCAUCAUGAAAUUGUUUCCUGUUAGCCUGUGCCUCAAUCCUGCAAGUGAUGCAUGCUAACAUUGUGGUCUCUGAAUUAAUCCACUGAACUCAAAAGGAAUACUCAGGCUGUGUGAAGUUUAGCACAUACAGACAUGCUUUCAGGGUGAAGACUUUGAGAUG